rnacentral:tRNA from 1 species
GGAGAGAUGGCUCAGUGGUUAAGAGCACUGACUGUUCUUCCAGAGGUCCUGAGUUCAAUUCUCAGCAACCCCA